GCUGUGAAAGCUCAGUGGUUAGGGCAUCGGACGCUUUAUUCGAAGGUCGCAGGUUCGAUUCCUGCUCACGGCU
rnacentral:tRNA from 1 species